rnacentral:rRNA from 1 species
UACAGAGGUCUCAAGCGUUGUCCGGAAUCAUUGGGCGUAAAGAGCGUGUAGGCGGUCCGGUAAGUCCGCUGUGAAAGUCAAAGGCUCAACCUUUGAAAGCCGGUGGAUACUGUGGGGCUAGAGUCCGGAAGAGGCGAGUGGAAUUCCUGGUGUAGCGGUGGAAUGCGCAGAUAUCAGGAGGAACACCGGUGGCGAAGGCGGGUCUCUGGGCCGAUACUGACGCUGAGGAGCGAAAGCGUGGGGAGCAAACAGG